UCAUUAACCAUUGUUUAUUAAUGAAAUACUAACAAUACAUUGCAGAUCAUUAAACAUUCAUUAUUCACAAUCAUAUGCAGAAAUAAAGCACUUACUAAUUGUUCAAAUUUCUCAAGAUAAGUCAAAGUGUCACUGGAAAUUUAUUUUAAUAUCUGCUCUGUGCAUUUUGUUCUGUGCACACUUCUUUGGUGAUGCCAUCAAAACACAUUUCCUAAUUUCACCUACUCCUACAAUAAAACUAAAGCCCUGAAGUAGUGUUAGUAGAAACAGUACUGCUUCCCCUUCAAAGGAAAAGGUUUUUCACUCUGAGAAAAAAAACGUCUAACUGUAUACAGCUCAUUCAGAAGUGGAAACCACUAUUUUCCUACUACCAGAUUCAGUGUUCGUAUCACACAGGAAUACAAAAUGACAAAAUUAUUGCGGUGAAAAUUCUACACAGAUUCUUAUUUUUAGCCUUUCUUUUUAUGUCACUAUUUUUGAAUUUUAGUGAUCCAAAGAACCUUUGUCAUGUAGCAGAGUUACAGUUUUAAUAGUGGAGUGAUCCAAAUGUCAAAAUCUGGCAAAUGAAAGACUAUAAGACGUUAAACUCUGCUGCGAGUGUCACUACAAGGUCAUGGGAGAGGGGGCUCAGAGAGGUACUUCUCUACAGUGUUCAUCUGCAUAGAUUCCCAAAAUCCAAUAUACAGUAUUUUAGAAGAUAUCAUAUUUCCCAAAUCCCCCCAUUUUGUUUAGCUGCAAUGUGGUGUUCUUCUGUAGUUUCAGAAGUAGUACCCAGAACAGACUCGUGCAGCAGUAGCUCUUUACCUAAAUCUUGCUUUAGUUUGGAAAUUGACUAAGGCCUGGAAAAGAGGGAACCAAAAACGAGCCCACAUGAGUCAUGCUGCCUUCUUAUUAAAGUAAAAUCCCACAUACGCAUGAAGAAUAUGAAAGAAAAACUGAGUCAUUAUGCAGAUUUCAGGAUCAAGUUCCAAGGAAUUUCAUCUUAAAAUUCAAAGGCAAACCUUUCUGUAGAAUACUUUUUUACCUAAAAAAAACAAACAAUGAGCCAAGAAGUUGCCUCUUGUUUUUAAACAUUGAUUACAUUUUGGGAAUACUGUCCUAUUACUUGUUUAUGAAGGUACAGGCUAUGUGUAUCCCCCCUCCCCGACAGCCCAGUCCCCAUCGUGUCUUCCUCCUCCUGAGACAGCAGGCCGGGCCUCCUGCCAUUCGAAGGCCUAGCCGGAGGGCCGCUGGGGCCCCCGAUGGCCCCUCUCCACUUGCCAGGAUUCACCGCUAUCACGCCUCUGGAUCAGUCUAGCCAGAGUCUCCCUGGCCAGAGUGGACUCUGUUUUUCCUUCCACUUUAAACCUCUGAUGUCUGUUGUCAAAUGGCCGUUCUGACACAGAAACGUCAUGUAUGCCUUGCGAUGCUCUGGAGAAAAUAAACGGUGAAGGAAAUCACUGCGCCAGAGGACGAAUUGUGAGGUUCCCUAAGAUAAUCUCGAAGUGCUGCCUGAAUUCUUCGGAUAUUUCCUAUCCGAGCAGGGAAUGUGAUGUGAAACUUUUGCCAUGCAGGAGCAUCCUCUUAAGCAGCUUUGUGAUCCUUCAUUUAUAUGCAGGCACAUGGGUCGCAGGGGAGCCGGACUCUUUCCCAGCAAGCAACGGGCGCAAGGCAGGGUACACCUUGGACAAGACACGAGUCCAUCUCAGUACUGCGAGGAAGCAUUUUUCAAUGGUAUUGUUAGACCGGAACCAAAAUCCACCGCAUUUAUUUGAAAAAUAGAAUUAAAUGUUUAUGCUGGUGUCCUUGCAUUUGCAUACAACAAUCCUACAGUAGGUGUGUUGAAACAGCAAACGCUGCAGACAUGAGGAACUGCGCUGGAAGCAGCCUAGUCCUUUGGAGGAAAUUUAUUGUCAAAUGAAAACCAGAUCUGCUGUGGAAAUGAAAGAAAUAAAACUCUUUGUCAGAGCUGGUUACAUUUUGUUGACGAAGCCUAUUAUUGCGCAGGAUUAAUUUGAUAGGAACCAGAAGCAGAGAUCUGCAGAGUGGGACCGUAGUUAUCAUGCAGCGUUGCUCUCCCGGCUGCUGAUGUCAUUUUGCCUGCAAGGUACAUCUUUUCAGCCAGCAGGGAGAACGCUUGCCUCCGCGAAUACUAAGUGCUAAGUGCUGGUGCUGCACAGCCGCUCGUCUGACAACCCAGCCACACAUCUGCAUGGAAGUCCCCACCCAAAUGUUAUUUUUUUCCCGUGACGAGCCCUCAGCUGAUAUAGAUCAUUACAGUGCAAUUAAAUCUUCGUUUUGAGAACAAAAAUCACAUCAGCAGUACAAAUGACAUUUAUUCCUAAAAAUGUGAUACAUCAUCAUACGUGCAAUGGCAAAGCCCGGGGAAAGACACAGCCGCAUGCUAGAUGAACCACUUCAAUUUUCCAUCAAUCAAAUUACAGUUUAUUGUUCAGCUGAGCAACCUCAGGCAACACAAACCUAGAAACUGUCAGUUAUGAAACAUUACAUUUUUCCUGUCAUAUUAAACCCUAGACGCAGGCAUUAAAAAGAAUGUCACAUCCCUGACGAGUUUAAUAUUCCUUAAUUUAGCCAGAGCUAAUUCUUCUGUAGUGUGUUCUAUUCUGGGGUUAUAACGGUGUUAGGUUACACAAAUUUCAUUAAACCACAUUAAGUACAUUUUUUAUUUCCAACUUAAUGAUUUUUAAAAUUUAAUUUGUUACAGGAAGAUUGCUUAUAAUAGUAUUUUAACGAGUCUAUCAGAAAUGAGGUCUGCAUUAGUAUAUCUUAUUAUGUAUUAAACAUUUUCGGUUUUGGAGAACAAUAGAUUGAAAACAUUUUAAUUCAAUCCAUCAGCUGGAAUACUAAAAACUAGUUACACCUUUGUUAGAAGUGGAAAUGAUAGGGGGAUCCGUGCCUUUAUUUCUGGGACAAAUUCAUUACUGGUGUAAAGGGCAAAAAUGCCCUCAGUUUAGUUUCAGAUCAUCCCUAUCUUAAAGAGCAACAGAAGCACAAGGUCUUCAGAAAGUCCAGGUCUAUAAAAAUGCCACUGUCCCCAGCAGACAAACGAGAAGGUCGUUCAGCCAUUCCAGCUUGUUUAAUAGGUAUUAACUAAUGAACUAAUCCAAGGAGCUGUUAAAAGAAACCGGGGUAUCAGCUUCAACAGCAUGGCUGGGCAAUUUGAUCCACACUCCCACAACCCAUUGUGUAAAGAAGUGCUUCUGUUCUUGAUAAGAAGAACUGUCCCAAAUUAUAACAGCUAAAGACUGAAAGAAAGGUUAAAAGGCAUCAUUCCCAAAUCACCUCAGCUCUGACCUGCAUUAAUACAAACAGACAUGGCCAUUUUAUUAAGUAUCAUUCGAAGAAGGUUACUGAAAAAAGAUGAAAAGAAGAAAAAAAGAAGAUGAUUAUGGUAAGGUAAAACAUAACAUUUACACAGCCAUACAAAGCCAAGGCUUGGCCUGCCUCUAGGCUAAGAUUGCUUACAACAUAGCUAAAGCACACCACAAUUCACAAGGAGGGCUAUGAAAAAAGACACAAAACAUUGCAUUGUCCAGGUAAUUGAAGUUCUUCCUCUCUUUUUCUCUCUCAGUCGCAGAGGUUAGAAAGGUCCUCCUUUAUCCUGAGGCGUAUGUUGGUCAAGGUGAAGGUAUAAUUUGGAGGUAAAACUCCUUCAGAACACAGACUUUCUGUAAAGCAUAUUUGUAGAGUGAAUGCCUUGUUCGUAUUGUAUUGUUUUGCAUUGUUUGAAUGACUAUGUAAACCAAAGUGGUUGACCUUUCCUAUACCCAUAUUGUGGAACAUAAAAUAAUUUUUAUAACUUAAUUUAUAACUCAAUUUGUAUUUGAAAACAGGAUCAUUUGUUUAUUUGUGUCUUGCAGACAGGUUAGUUUAGUGAUAACUGCAAACACCUCAGGACAUAUUUAUGCAGGUAAUCAAGCACUAAAUGUGCGUGCAUGGUUUCUGAAGUAUCUCCCGAAGACCCUUUCCCAAGUCUUACUGUGACUAUAAGCAAUAAUUUAAGUGGAGCGGCCUGGAAUUUCAGCUGUGAUGCAGGUACAGUGCUGUAAUUGUAGUCAUGGCCACUGCUCAAAUUCAGAACAGAUAAUUUCUCUGGCAACAGUCCCGCCUGAAGAAGACAACCACAUUGGAGAUGCAUACCCGGAAACCUUCUAACCGUGACAAAUCUGGAUUUUUUUUUUAAGAAAGGAAGAUCACAGUGCACAUGAAGGAAACAUGAGGCCUUUAGUUGCCCUUGAACCUACUGCAUUGGAAUACACUCAUGCACUCAUGCAUUGGAACAAACACAACCGCAUGCACACAAAGAGAAAUGUGUUUUGGUAUUCUUGUUCUCUAUUAAACCCGGACCCCACAGCUCUGAUCUGCCACAUGCCUAGAUUCCAAUUUUCAUUGAAGGAGGUAGGUCUUAAGUUGUAUGUCUACUAAUGUCUGUCACGUUAACAGACAAUAUUCAUAUUCACACUAAUGAUAAAGUACAUUCACCACAGGUAAUACACAUACUCUUUAAAAUAAAAAUUAAGCUUUUUUACAAAAUAAUUAAACUAUUGGACUGUAUACAAUAUAUUAGACUAUAACAGCUGAGCUGUGUGGAAAACCAUAGAAUCAAUCAACAAAAAGAUAAAAUCAUGAAUUAUAAUAAACCUUAAUAGCGGUAAUAAAAAUAAUAUAGGGAUUGAUCCCCAUUUACAAGUGUUCAGUUUCUAUUUGUAUUCCAGUUCGUGAUCAGCACACGUUCAGUUCGUAAACCCAGGUAAAUCCAGGGUGCCGAGUGUGUAUUCCUACUGUUCGGAGCUCUGCAACCCACUCAUCCAAUUGCUGUACAGUUCCACGUUUUUGAUGCUGACACACAGCCAUGUCAUAUGACCUGCAGACACACCUCCAAGCUUAGUUCCCAGUGAUGCAAUAGGAUCCACACGUAUUUCCUCGUAUACCAUGUUGUUCUCUUUGCAAGUGUUCUGGUAUUUACUUCCUUGUCUUUUACCUUCUAAAUCUCCCUCCUCCAGUCCCCAUUUUUCACAUAGCAGCAGUGAAAACCCAGUUUCCCAAGUCAGAGCCUGUUGCCUUUUUAGCUGAUGUGCUUGAAAGUCUCGCCAAUCAGCACAGGAAUUUAAGCUCAAAUGAAGCCACUUUGUUUCAAAACCUGGAGACUUGGAGAUGCAUGGCUUUCCUGUGCAGCUGUGGAAGUCAUGUCGCAUGGCAGUAUGAGAAGGCAAGCUUCCUCCUAACACAAAGCACAUGUGCAAGCCCAUGAGUUCAGCAGACCGCAAAAAGGCACACAUCCAUUGAAACCCUGCUUUUUGUCUCAAGUUUGGUUUUCCUUUGGUUUGCGUUUUGGUUUAGUGUAUCCACCUGGAGAAGAAACAGUUAAUUUUUGCAAGAGAACAAAGGCAGAACUUUGCACUUUUUCUUUCCAUCAACCCAUCCCUAGUUUAUCUGGAGAAAUGAAUGGGUCAUUAUAAUUACCCGUUGUCAGUAUGCAUAUGACAUGAACUGCCUUCUGAAUACCAUUAACUGUUAGCAUUUUUCUUCUGUAUCAUUUUUUUCAUCCCCGCUCAGCUACUUGGUAUUCUAGCAAUGAUAAUUAUCAUUCACUGAGAGCUCCAUCAGCGUGCAUCUUAAAUAGACGGCAGUAAUAGGCUUGACACGUUCUAUUUUAUUAUUUUUCAAUGCAAAUGGCAGAAAAAAAUGCGCUGCAGUUGCUGUAUGUGGUCUUUUGUGUCGAAUUCUGGUGACACAAAUGCCUCUUCCUUGUAGUAUAAGAUUGAACGUUUUUUUCUGUUAAAAAGCGCUUCACAUGAAUGAUAACCCUUAAUUCUUCACUGCAUGGCUUGCUUUCUGAUCCAUUACGGGCAGAAAGCCGAUUUGCAUCCCUAUAUUCAAAUGAGCUCUAUUAUAAAAGCUCUUCUAAUUAGCUCCACUUUCUGGUUCGUGGUUAAACUCUUGUUUGCCUGUCGUUCUGAUUAAAGCCACCAUUGUCUUCCAACAGCUAGAAUUAAUUCUUUCGGAAAAAAAAAAAGAUUCUGAUGAGGCGUUAGUUUAUUCCACAUCGCUGUUUGUUGCCUAAUUUACUCCGGGUCCCUGCUGUGCUUUCCUUAAGCUAUCCUCUUUGUCUUGCCUUUGAAAUUUACAAAAUCUUACAAGAAAUCAAUACUUAAUUGAUUAUUCACUUUUCUGCAGCUUCAAACAGCAAGCUCACACAAGAUCCCAUAGUAGUCACCCUAUUUCCAAUGCAGGAGGUUGCUUGGUGGCAGAGAGCUGCAAGCAUCCAGCAGCAGGCACCCUCAUGAGCUGCACAGUGGCGUACGGUGCCAGCAUCCGAUCAGGAGAAUGAAGAUGGUCUAACGAAGCAGGGAAAGUUCCCACGUGAGCCAGACACCAUGUCAGGGCUCUCAAGAAAAAGCAGAGGCAACGGGCAUCUAUAGAGAAAAAUCAACGACAACAGGAACCACGACCACAACAACAAAAAAAUGAGCCAGACUCCUGCACGUCCUCCUCUGUGUACCCAGCUUCCUUGUUUCUGUGGCACCGAAGCGGAGCAGGCGAGAUGCCACCUAACCCGGAGAACUUCUUAUCGCAACGGGAACAGGACUCGUGCUGUAUUCUCUGACAUGGAAUAAAGGAUGGCAAGCACGUAACGUUACGAAAUGUAGGACAAAUUCAGGCGAGUGAGAGGGAGAGAGCGAGAGAGACAGAUGGCGGUUCUGGCCAGGUGCCAAAGCCAGUGAAAUGAAUUACACUGCUGGAUGACUGUGCACCACUGGCGCUGCCACUUGUUGCCGCCUGGCAAGAGGGGCCCUGGUGCUGCCGGGGAGUCGCCUGGCAUGUCACGCGCCCCCUCAGACAACUUUGCACACCAAAGUCCCAGAACGCGCCGGGCUCUGACGACGAGGCACGCCGACGGGAGAUGCCCUGUGCAUACGGCAAGGGGAAGCACAGCCAUUGUGAAGCGUUUUGCCUAAUGAAGACUGGAGUGCUGGCAUUCAGGGCUGUAGUUAUGUGCCGCAUAUUAAUACGUGCUGAGUAGACAGCCUCCCCCCUUUAAGCGUGUGCCACUGAAAUGAAGCCUCCUAGGGAAGCUGCCACAGUGGGAGCAGGAAUUCACGAGGUAACAUAUCACUGCUGAAACUACAAACGGAGCGUAUGAAAUUCCAAAGAAGAACAUUUUGCUGUCUGACAUGAAGAAAAGCUAGUCCCAGGGCUGCAAUGUUUGGGUGUUUUUGAAAAGGCAGCCAGAGUCAUAGCAGGUUGUUCAAUAAACGCUUCAUACCCAGGAUAAAGGGAGACAUUAUGGGAUGCCCAGGGGGCUUUGGAAAUCAAAUACAAUGUUUGAAGUAGAACAAUUUGAGGUACAUUACAGAAAAGCAAUUUGAAUUGCCAAUGAGGCGAUGCAUAUCUGCAUGCUAAUUAGACCUGUGUCAAGCUAAGUCUGCAGUCUGCUGUUGAUGGGUAGGAAUGUGCUUGUAGCUCUGCUGGGAGACUGUUUUCGGAAUAAAUUAGCAGCUUUGUUCUACUACAUAUUUUCUGCAAACAAACAUGAAGUGCAGAAUCAAAAGGUGCGUCAGAAAUUAAAAUUAUUGAUUGAUAAAGCCGGCGUUUGAAAAUCUAAUUAGAGGAGACGUGGACAAAAGCUGAUAUUAUAAUAGAUUGUCUCUGAGCUAGCAGUCGGAUUGUGCUAGGACUGUAAUUUAUCUUUCUUAAUGCAACCUGGAUAUUAAAAAUGUAAUUAGAAUGGUAAGAUGAUCUGAUCAGAAAUAGCCACCUAGUGGCAAUGGGAUUCGUUUUCUUUUUGUUGUUCUUUUUAAAAAUGGAUUACAAAUCGGCACCGUAAUGUGCAAAAAGAGAAUGGUACUGAGGUUACGCAUUAAGGACUCAGAGGUCUGAAAUCUCAUUCUGCAGUUAACAACUUACAGGUGGGUAGCUGCAUCUGGAUGCGUAGGCUGCAAAGGGA